AGGGAUCCUUGAGCUCUGCCCGAGGUUCUGCUCAGGUUUCCUCCAUUGUCCCCUCAGCUCCUUGCUUGUUCUGGUUAAAUACGGCUGCCCAGCGUCAGCCUGCUGGCCGGCUAGCAGAGUUUCGAGCUCCGCUGAGGGUUUCACUCCUCCUGCAGCCCUAAAGACCAUGCCAAUUGCCUCAUUCCUUUGAGCCUUCACUGCGCACCCAUUUGGGGAACUGGGGCACAGACCCCAACAGGUAGACAAACAGGUGUUAGUGCCUUUUGCUUGCUGUUCUGAAGACCUGACUACAGAUGAUGAGACCCAAGUUCAGGUUUCAGUGGUAGCCUGCUGUGUGUGCUUGGGCACCAUGUUGUGUCUCUCUGCGGCUCCAAGUAGGAAGGGCUGCCCCCACCUGGGUCCGCUGUGAGUGAACAGGGGACGUGUGAGCGAUUAUUACCUGUAAGGUGUGAUGGCAUCCCUGGCCCAGUGCCUGCCACACGCGAAUGUAUGGCUUGAGUUUGAGUCUGUCUCUUCGCAGCUCCCAUAACUUCACGGCGGGGAAUGGCGGUGUGCACUGCGUCCCAGUCUUGGUGGUUUUUCCGGAGACAGUUCCUGAUGACUGCCCCUGCUCCCCAGCCCCAGGAGCCUUCAAGCCCUGUGCUUAGCAGCAUUUACCCCAGUUUUUUAACGUCAAUCUUAUGGAGGCUUGGGGCUGGACAACCUCUCUUGGGGGAGGCUCAAUUCAUUGUGGGGUGCUGGGCAAUAUCUCUAGCCUCUAGCUGCUGGAUACCAUUAAUGUACCCCAGUAGGACCUUGCUAGAUGUUCCCCAGGGUGGGGGGCACUGUCCUGGUUGAGAAUCAUCGAUUCCCUAUAAAAGGUCAUCCUUGGAAGCCAUCCAUCGGGGCAGCUCAGAGCCUGGGUUCCGGAUUCAGAUGGUCUCGGUUUGACUCCUGGCUCCACACUGGCCACUGUGUGACUCUGGGCAGGUCGCUUAACCUCGCUGAGCCCCAGAUGAGAUGUAGACGCUCAGAGAAGCUAUACGACCUGCCCAAGGCUUGCAUGUGGGAUAGCUGGAAUUGGUCUCCUCUUCUGUUGGUGCAGCCCUGAGCCUGUAGGGGACGGCAGGAAGGACUCACCAGGACAAGGGAAAAGAGUCUUCUGUCUCUCAGCAGUAUCCCCAGGGAGGGAACUGGGAGUUCUGGCUGGAGUUGCCUGGUGGAAUCUUUCCCCCUGCUGCUGAAGGAGGUGACCUGUCACCAACCCACUGUGAUUUUUUCCAAACCUCAUGAGGUCUCGUUCCACAAAGUGCUUUGCAGAGAAGGUUUUUAAAAUCCUGCUCUUAGUGUCUCCAGAGCCAUGAGCUUUGGGCUUUUGCCUUGGCUUGGGCUAGUGGCUUUCUCUUCCUGCACCCAACUUCCUUGGAACUGAGUGCUAUGGGGUUAAUGUGGACAUAGAGCGUGGGCUCUGUACCGAGGCCAUAUCUGUGUGUGUGUCUGUGCCAGAUUCAUCCCUCUAGGGCAAAUACACCGGAGGGUGAUGUGGGCAGGCAUGGCAUGGCCAGGCUGUGACCCAUCGAAUUACUGUUCAACUAACAUGCACGCUGUCCUUCCCAGGCUUGUGGAUUGUACAUCCCCCGCUCUUUAAAAGCCUGGCUCAUUUGACUUGCAUUGGUCAGUAGAAUGUCAGUGGAUGUGGUCUGGAUGCUGAAUGUGUCUGUGAAUUUUUGUUCUAGCUGUCAGCCUGGAAUCUGUAAUAGGGAAACACGUGGAACUGCUUGAAGCUGACUUUGGCUCCAAACAGGAGCCUCUUUGUAAAUCCCAACUUAGACUUUAGACCCAGCUGUAUAAGGUUAAAUGCUAGUUGUAAGCUAUGAUGUUUGUUAUGCAGCAUGAGCAUGGCAAUCACUGACUGAUACACUGACCAAUGUCACACUUCUGGAUUCCUCUUGUACAACAGAUAACAACAGAAUUCAGACCUAUUUUGGCAGCAGUGUGAUGCAGUGAUUCUCAAAUUCUUUAUUGGCAUAAAUAAUUCAGAUAUUGGAUUCUCACUAAACAUUGCACUAAACACAAGAAACAAUAGGCUUGCCGGCUCAGAGGCUCACAAACUGUCCAACAGCCCAAGAUAGAAAUACUUUUUUGAGAAGUGUAGAAAACUUUAUAAAUGAUUCUGUACAAAUAUACACAGUGGACCCUCCCUCCCUCCAUCCGGCUCUCCUUUCCUGGAUGGCAUUGAUUCAAAUAUCUUUUCUCAGCAGCGAGACAUUGGCAACAAGUGAGAGAGAAAGAGAGACAAAGACCCAGACAGAGUUAGAAAGGAAAAGGAAAGAAGCGGCCCCAGAAGGGAAAUGUGAAAUGGAUUUCAUACAUCAGCUCACUCUGCGACGGUCGGCACAGACAGACAUGGAGACAGGGUGGACCAUCGGUCCUUAGAGGUCUGUACAAGAAUCAGUCUUUAUAUAAUAUAUAUGUAUAAUAUUUAUAGGUAUAUAUACUUUGUGUAUAGAAAAAGGUAACAGCAUCA